ACGAACGCUGGCGGCGUGGCUAAGGCAUGCAAGUCGAACGAACCUAUUUGAUGGGCAACCAAAGGGUAGGUUAGUGGCGAACGGGUGAGGAAUACAUGGAUAACGUGCCCCGGACUCAGGGAUAGCGUUGCGAAAGCGACGGUAAUACCUGAUGACCCCGUAGGAUCGCAUGAUCCCGCGGGCAAGGCUCCGGCGGUCUGGGAGCGGUUCAUGUCCUAUCAGCUAGUUGGCGGGGUAACGGCCCACCAAGGCUGCGACGGGUACCGGGCGUGAGAGCGCGACCCGGCACAUCGGAACUGAGACACGGUCCGGACACCUACGGGUGGCUGCAGCAACGAAUAUUCCGCAAUGGACGAAAGUCUGACGGAGCGACGCCGCGUGGAGGAUGAAGUCCCUCGGGAUGUAAACUCCUGUCAGGGGUGAGGAACAUUGACCAGCCCCAGAGGAAGCCACGGCUAACUCCGU
rnacentral:rRNA from 1 species